UACAGAGGGGGCAAGCGUUAUUCGGAAUUACUGGGCGUAAAGGGCGCGUAGGCGGCGUGACAAGUCACUUGUGAAAUCUCCGGGCUUAACCCGGAGCGGCCAAGUGAUACUGUCGUGCUAGAGUGCGGAAGGGGCUGCUGGAAUUCUCGGUGUAGCGGUGAAAUGCGUAGAUAUCGAGAGGAACACCUGCGGCGAAGGCGGGUAGCUGGGCCGACACUGACGCUGAUGCGCGAAAGCCAGGGGAGCGAACGGG
rnacentral:rRNA from 1 species